rnacentral:snRNA from 14 species
UUUGCUUAGGCAUCAUGUACUGAAUUAGAAUACAGAGAAGUUUAGCAUGGCCUAUGCAAGGACUACACACACAUUUGUGAAGUAUUCCCUACUUAA